CCUACGGGGGGCCCAGUGGGGAAUAUUGCACAAUGGGCGCAAGCCUGAUGCAGCCAUGCCGCGUGUAUGAAGAGGGCCUUCGGGUUGUAAAGUACUUUCAGCGGGGAGGAAGGCGAUAAGGUUAAUAACCUUGUCGAUUGACGUUACCCGCAGAAGAAGCACCGGCUAACUCCGUGCCAGCAGCCGCGGUAAUACGGAGGGUGCAGGCGUUAAUCGGAAUUACUGGGCGUAGAGCGCACGCAGGCGGUCUGUCAAGUCGGAUGUGAAAUCCCCGGGCUCAACCUGGGAACUGCAUUCGAAACUGGCAGGCUGGAGUCUUGUAGAGGGGGGUAGAAUUCCAGGUGUAGCGGUGAAAUGCGUAGAGAUCUGGAGGAAUACCGGUGGCGAAGGCGGCCCCCUGGACAAAGACUGACGCUCAGGUGCGAAAGCGUGGGAAGCAAACAGGAUUAGAUACCCCUGUAGUC
rnacentral:rRNA from 1 species